ACCCAGGAGGAAAGCUGGGGAAAGAAGAGAGAAAAAGCAAAGCAAGUAGUGAGCCUCAAAGUAAACUUCCUUUCUUCCCAUAGCUGACGCUGAGUACAGAGUUGAGCUUCACAGGCCAGAAGCCAUCUGCGGCAUCAAUCCCAGCCCCAUGCUGCUGCCGUGGUCAGUGGGAGCUGCACAUAUGGGACCCAGGCAUAAUGCAGCCCGAGAAACCAGCGGGCUCCCAUAUGUGUAAAUCACUUCCCGUGAAGAGCAAUCUGAGUCUGAUGAGCUUCUUUAAGUGGAGACUACAAAGACCCCCCAGCAUAUUAGAGGAACUCAAACUGUGUAAGAGAAACAGCAGGAAAAGCAGACCACCUGGAUCUGUGAAUCUCAAGCUAUUUCUGCAUGCUUCAUCCCCAACCCUGUCCCUCAAGCCCAAUUUUUUUCACUGCUGCAUCACCAAAAGGACAGGUAAUCAGUCAGUGAGUUUUCUGUCUUUUAAUC